UGGGAAUUUGGACAAUGGCGAAAGCCUGAUCCAGCAAUGCCGCGUGUGUGAAGAAGGCCUUCGGGUUGUAAAGCACUUUUGUCCGGAAAGAAAUCCUUGGCUCUAAUACAGUCGGGGGAUGACGGUACCGGAAGAAUAAGCACCGGCUAACUACGUGCCAGCAGCCGCGGUAAUACGUAGGGUGCAAGCGUUAAUCGGAAUUACUGGGCGUAAAGCGUGCGCAGGCGGUUUUGCUAAGACCGAUGUGAAAUCCCCGGGCUCAACCUGGGAACUGCAUUGGUGACUGGCAGGCUAGAGUAUGGCAGAGGGGGGUAGAAUUCCACGUGUAGCAGUGAAAUGCGUAGAGAUGUGGAGGAAUACCGAUGGCGAAGGCAGCCCCCUGGGCCAAUACUGACGCUCAUGCACGAAAGCGUGGGGAGCAAACAGGAUUAGAUACCCUGGUAGUCCACGCCCUAAACGAUGCCAACUAGUUGUUGGGGAUUCAUUUUCCUUAGUAACGUAGCUAACGCGUGAAGUUGACCGCCUGGGGAGUACGGUCGCAAGAUUAAAACUCAAAUGAAUUGACGGGGU
rnacentral:rRNA from 1 species